ensembl:lncRNA
ACUCCCGGGGCAUCUGGUACUGGACACAUGGGGGCCCUGCUACAUGCCCUAAGGCUCCCCACACUCAGAGCUCCUCCCCCGCCCAGCAGGAAGCAGAAGCAGGGGUUGAGGUCACCCCACAUCCUUCUUUCCCACCACACUCACAACAUCACGUGCGUCGCACGCCAUGGCCGAACUUCCACUCCUGUUAGGAACCUCCCGUGUGGCAGGUUUUAGAUGCCACGGGUUAGGUUGGAGGCAGCAUCUGGAGUCCAGUUCCUCGGGUUCAAACCCCAGGUCCAGACUCAUCAUCCUCCACGGGCCUGCGCAUUUCAUACCCUCUGGGUGCCUCAGUUUCCCCAUCCUUAAACGAACACACACUGAGACCUGCUGGUCCAGCCAUCUGGGAAGAGUAAUGAUGUUCGUCACAGUGCUUCUUAAACAGUUGACAAUUUGUGCUGCCGGACUGCCAGGGCCCUGACACCCAGCCUUUUUUCUGAUAGUUUAGACGGACCCAGUGUCUGAAACCCUAAGGUGUUUUAAUGAUGGCUUGAGUUUAAAAGAAUGGGAUCUCAAACUGUGGCCCCUGUGAUCCCUGGUCCAGGAAGAUGCCACAGAGCAUCUAAGCUCAUGCACCACAACCACUGAGCCCCAGCUCUAAGCCCGCAAGCUGCAACUGCUGAGUCCUCGAGCCUAGAGCCCAUGCUCCACAACAAGAGAAGCCGCUGCAAUGAGAAGCCCGUGCGCUGCAACUAUGGAAAGCCCGCGUGCAGCAACGAAAACCAAAAUAAAUUUUAAGAACAUCACGUGUGCGUAGACCCUCUGCCACCUCACAGAAAACAGCAUUUCUUGUUAAGUGUGCCCAGUGUGUAUUAAGAGCUCAACAACUAUGGUUUCCACCCAGGAAUCCGUCAGGGGACUUAUUAUACGUGGGGUGUUGGUGUUAUCUGGGCAAGACAAAAGCCCCGUUCUCCCCUGGUCGGAUGUUAGGUGCUAAUAAUUCGGGUCACCUCCUGAGGGUGAUCCUUAGCCUGGUUCUCAAAUAUGGGCAUCAGUCAUGUCACAGGUAAACAGGGCUCAUGAGCUUCUCCAUGUAUAAACCAAAAGACCACCUGGGAAGUAGAUUGUCCUAGAAGUGUAACUGAAGAUGAGCAAUGGGCAAAAGCACAGGGUGAUCAACUUGGAUGCUGGCAUUCUUGACGGGAUAUCUCCGAUUCUGGAGGGCAAAUGAGCAGAGCUGCUCUGUGUCACCCAGCGAGGUCUGCCUGGAGACAUGCUGGUGUUUACCUGCCACAUCCUUUCAGUUUUAUUGCACUCAAUCGCCUUGUAUAUUUAAUGCUGAAAUUUGCUGAAGUGGUUACCAAGCCACGGGGAAUAGGAAGGCGUGAGGGAGCCGCUUUCUGACCCUGAGGCUGGCAAAGCUGCCUCCUUAACCAGAGCUGUGCUGGGUUACGACGUUAUUUGCAUUUAGAGCAUUGAGUCUUGAAGCUAAAAUUGUAGCAGGAGCUAAUUGGAGUACAGGCAGCCCGCACUGCCAUGGAUUUAGGAUGUUUACUCAAUGAUGGAUGAGAACUUUCAGGCAAAGAAGGAUUUUCCCCUCCGUCUUUCCACAAUCCAAUGUCAGUCCACAGUGAUCAAGGUCCUGAUUUGGGGGUGAGUGUGCAGGGCCUUUUUAAAAGUCUUCACAGGCAAGAAGAACAGAUUCUGUAUCUGACCUUCAUAAUUUUGCUCUCAAAUAGGUGGGAAAAAAAGUAGAAAUAGUGACAGAUUUUAUUUUCUUGGGCUCCAAAAUCACUGUGGAUAGUGACUGCAGCCAGGAAAAUAAAAGACGCUUGCUUCUUGGAAGGAAAGCUGUGACAAACCUAGACAGGAUAUUCAAAAGCAGAGACAUCAUUUUGCCAACAAAGGUCCAUAUAGCCAAAGCUAUGGCUUUUCCAGUAGUCAUGUAGGGAUCUGAGAGUUGGACCGUAAAAAAGGCUGAGCACCAAAGAACUGAUGCUUUUGAAUUGUGCUGGAGAAGACACUUGAGAGUCCCUUGGACAGCAAGAUCAAACCAUUCAAUCUGAAAGGAAAUCAACCCUGAAUAUUCAUUGCAAGGACUGAUGCUGAAGCUCCAAUAUUUUGGCCACCUGAUGUGAAGAGCCAACUCACUGGAAAAGACCCUGAUGCUGGGAAAGAUUGAGAACAGAAGGAGAAGGGGGCAACAGAGGAUGAGAUGGUUGGAUGGCAUCAGUGACUCAAUGGACAUGUGUUUGAGCAAGCUCUGGGAGAUGGUGAAGGACAGGGAAGCCUGACCCUGUCCUUGUGCUACGGACCCUGGGAUUGCAAAGAGUAGACACAACUGAGUGACUGAGUAACAACAAGAACUAAGAAGCAAUUGGAUGAGAUGUCAGUGGGGCUAGGGUUUACAGUGGGGCUGAAGGACCGCAUUGCUUUGCCCGAGUUUGGGCAAAGCUGUAUUAAGUGCCACUCACACAUGUAGGAGACGUGGGUCGGGAAGAUCCCCUGGAGAAGGAAAUGUAAACCCACUCCUGUGUUCUUGCCUGCGAAAUCUCGUGGACAGAGGAGCCUGGUGGGCUAGAGUCCAUGGGGUCACAAAAGAGUCAGACCUGACUGAGCGCCUGAAACAACAUCUCGGGCCUGAUGUUGCAUCAGGAGCAUCUGGCCGCUGUGCCACUGCACGAGGGACUCAGAGAAUCCCCAGCAGAGGCCCCCACGCCCCUACCAAGAGUUUGUCUUCAGGUUCUUGGAACUGAUUCCAGAUGCCUCCAGAAAAGGGAGGCCUCCCAUUUCCGAAGUUCCCACUCCUCCCUCCUGUGAUAAGACAUAGAAAGAAGAAGAGCCACAGGUUUCUGUCAGUCCAGGCAGAACAAGACUGCUGAUCCCACAGAGUAAGGGAAAGACAUUUGUCCUCAGAGAGGAGCCUCUUUCCUGAAGGGGAUUCCUUACAACGUGGCUCUCGCAGCCUCCAUCCUACACUUGGACCCAGAGGCAAGGACGUGAGCAAACCCUAAAGUGCUCAGAAGCAUUAAUCUCCCGUGCUCUGGUCCUGCUGUGUGUGCAUGUGUGAAUGUUAAGUCGCUUCAGUCGUGUCUGACUCUUUGGAAACUCAUGGACUGUAGCCCACCAGGCUCCUCUGUCCAUGGGGUUCUCCAGGCAAGAAUACUGGAGUGCAAUGCUAUGCCCUCCUCCAGGGGAUCUUCCCAAACACAGAUGGAACCUGUGUCUCUUACAUCUCCUGCAUUGGCAGGUGGGUUCUUUACCACUAGGACCACCUGGGAAGCCCCCUGGUCCUGCUGGUAUUUAGUUAUAAGACUUUGCUUUGGGCCUGAUGGUGGGUGAAAAGUUGGGGACAAUAAUACCAACACAUAAGGUUGUUUCAUAAAUGAAGUUCACAUUUUUAAACAGUUUGGUUAGAAAAAGCCACUCUGAGUAUCAGCUUUGCUGCUUGCUAACUGGGUCACUGGGGACAAAGUCAUUCGCCCACUCUGAGUCUUCAUUUUCCCUAUCUUAAAAUGGGGAGAAAUGGCUAUGAAAGAGUGGAGGGAUGUGCUUUUCACAACAAGUAUAUUUCAUGGUUUUCAAUAACUGUUAGAUUCAUGUCUCAAUUUGAUGGAAAGAUGUAUUUCCCCUUGAAUUUAGGGAGGAAUCAGAGGAGAUUAUGUUUUGUGCUGAAGUUAUAAACACUGGCCUACCUCCAGCUAAAAGUCUUUCUGUUUUUACAAGCACUUGAGGGGGAUCCAAAUGACACCCCAAAAUGUGACUCUUAAAGGAUUUGAAACUUUUGCCUCAUUUGAACCCUGUCAUUUCACAACCUUUGCUUUGAGAGAGGCCUGGCUUCCCAGUACUCAUGGUUGUUUGCUUUGCCAUCUAAACCAGUGUGCACAACAGAUAUAAAGUAGAACUACUUUUUUUCCCCCAGUAAGCUCUAGAAUUUUCCUGUUUGAACUCAAUAUAAAAAGAGUUAAACUCAAAGUAACAGCCCCCCCAAUUUGCCACAUCCAGGAACCCCUUUUUCCUCACAGAGGUUUAGGACAGGAGAAUCAGAUGUGAGCAGCAGUUGUAAUGAUGAAUUGUUGGGGAAGAUUUAUUACCAGGGGAAGGGAUAGUUUUGAAUCUACUUUUCUUGGUGCACACAACAAGUAUUUAUGUAAUUCUGCAAAGCACUUUUGAGAUAGAAACACACAUGUGCACAUACACAGGAACUAUAUUUAGUAACACUACCCAUGCAGUCUUGGCCUUAAAAACUCCUGUUUCAUCAUCUGGCUGGAGAGCCAGUAGCCUGCGCUUUACUAGGAGCCCAGGGACAAAAAGCCUUAUAAAUACUAGAAUCAGCCAACCAGACAGAGCGUGGACAGCAACACCGUCACAACUAAAUUACUGUUUCGAGGUGAUACAUCUUAAAUCAGCACACAGUUCUUUCCGAUUUCAGUAGUUUGAAAUGGAAACAAUGCAAAUCAACUAAUUUACAAAACCAAAACCAAUUCACAAACAUAGACAACAAACUUAACAGUUACCAAGGGGGAAAGGGGAGGAGAAGGGAUAAAUUAAGAGUAUGGGAUGAAUAGAUACAUUAAUACAGUCUGGUAUGUAUAAAUGAUCAGGCUUCCCCAGUGGUUCAGUGGUAAAGAAUCCGCCUCCCAAUUGCAGGAGACAGGGGUUCGAUCCCUCGGUCGGGAGAAUUCCCCGGAGAAGGAAAUGGCAACCGCCUACAGUGUUCUUGACUGGGAAAUCCCAUGGACAGAGGAGCCCGGUAGACUGCAGUCCGUGGGACUGCAAAAAAGUCGGACACGACUUAGUGACUAAAACAACAAAAAUGAAUAAAACAGAUAAACCACAAAGACUUACUAUAUAGCACAUGGAAUUAUAUUCAAUAUAUUGUAAUAACCUAUGAUGGGAAAGAAUCUGAAGCUGUCCAUCUGAAAGUAACACAGUAUUAGAAAUCAACUAUAGCUUAAUAAAUUUAAAAAUUUUUAAAGAAAAUAAGCAAAUAAAUAAAUUGUUUGAAAUGAAUCAAGGGAGGGGGAAGACAGUAUUGACCACAGCAACUGAAUUUCUGAAAAAUAUUUUAUUUACAAAUAAAGUCUUACAUAUGAAUCUUCAGACUUACUAGUCCCAACAAACAUUGCACUGAUUGAUAUCUGUGUCAACUAGAAAGAUCAGAAAGGGAAGGAGACGGUUCCAUUCUGUAGUAUUUACAGGUAUCUGCCUUUGUUUGCGGAGAAGGCAAUGGCACCCUACUCUAGUACUCUUGCCUGGCAAAUCCCAUGGAUGGAGGAGCCUGGUAGGCUGCAGUCCAUGGGGUCGCUAGGAGUCGGACAUGACUGAGCAACUUCACUUUCACUUUUCACUUUUCAUGCAUUGGAGAAGGAAAUGGCAACCCACUCCAGUGUUCUUGCCUGGAGAAUCCCAGGGACGGGGGAGCCUGGUGGGCUGCCGUCUAUGGGGUCGCAUAGAGUCGGACACGACUGAGGCGACUUAGCAGCAGCAGCAGCAGCAGCAGCAGCCUUUGUUUGAUUUGAGACAGUGGUGAUUCACAGAGCUAUUGCAGUGUGUGAAACAGUCUGCUGGUAAUGCCAGCUCAGAUCUUCCAGAACUAAACCUAUGAUGAAUUCCAGGGGACCAAAACCUCUUUAUGAUUUCUGCAGAGCAGACUCAUAUCCGAGUGUGUUCAUGACAUUUACAGUAGUGAGGUGCCUGGGGAACAGGAAGGGGUGCUUUGUAAGGACAGAUAAGCUCUGAUUAGGCGUAUGAGCUCAUUCAUCAGAUAAAAAUAUGACACCUGGGCUUUAACCCAUUCUUUAUUCUGAAAGAAAAGAAGUGGAGGAUGAAGGGAACCCAGAGCCUUAAGUAUUGAUUUUUCACAGGCUGCCUCUCUUAACGCAUUUUGUGGUUUGUUUCAACCCCAUCCUUUAAACUGGUGGGAAUGUAGAUUGCUGCAGCCACUGCGGAAAACAGCAUGCAGGUUUCUUAAAAAACUAAUAAAAUUAGAACUCCCAUAUGACUCAGCGAUUCUACUCCUAGGUAUACACCUACAGAAACCCAAACACUAAUUCAGAAAGGCACAUGGACCCCAACAUUCAUAGCAGCAGUAUUUCAAUAGCCAAGAUACGGAAACAAUCUAAGUGCCCGUCAACAGAGGAAUAGAUAAAGAAAAACGGUACUUGUAUACAAUGAAACACUACUCAUUCUCUUUUUCUAAAAAAAGAUGAAAUUCUUCCAAUUGCAAUAACAUGUACGGACCUAGAGGGCAUUAUGUUUAGUGAAAUAAAGUCAGGCAGAGAAAGACACUGUGAUAUCACUUAUAUGUGGAAUCUAAAAAUACAGAUAUAUCAUCAAAUAUGCAGAUGAUACCACUCUAAUGGCAGAAAGUGAAGAGGGACUAAAGAGCCUCUGGAUGAGGGUAAAAGAGGAGUGGAAAAAUUGGCUUAAAAUUCAGUAUUUGAAAAACUAAGAUCAUGACAUCCAGUCCCUUCAUUUCAUGGGAAACACAAGGAGGAGAAAUGGAAGCAGUGACAGGUUUUAUUUCCUUGGGUUCUGAAAUCACUGUGGACAGUGACUCUGGCCAUGAAAUUAAAAGACAUUUGCUCCUUGAAAGAAAAGCUAUGACAAACCUAGACAGCAUAUUAAAAAGCAGAGACAACACUUUGCCAUGGCGUGCUGCAGUCCACGGGGUCGGAAAGAGUCAGACACGACUGAACGACUGAAAUAAACUGAACUGAACUGAUGGUUUUUCCAGUAGCUGUGUACGAACGUGAGAGCUGGACCAUAAAAAAGGCUGAGUGCCAAAGAAUUGAUGCCUUUGAACUGUGGUGUUGGAGAAGACUUGAGAGUCCCCUGGAUCAAACCAGUCCAUCCUAAAGGAAAUCAACCCUGAAUGCUCAUUGGAAAGACUGAUGCUGGAGCUGAAGCUCCCAUACUUUGGCCACCUGAUGGGAAGAGCCAGCUUCUUGGAAAAGACCCUGAUGCUGGGAAAAUCUGAAGGCAAAAGGAGGGCAGCAGAGGAUGAGGUGGUUAGAGAGCAUCACUGACUCAAUGGACAUGCAUUUGAGCAAACAGCGAACUUUGGGAUAUAGUGAAGGACAGGGAAGCCUGGUGUGCUACAGUCCACGCGGUCCCAAAGAGUCAGACAUGACUUAGUGACUAAACAACAGCAAGCCAUAACAAAUAAGAAAGCAAUUCACAGGUAUAGAGAACAAACUAGCGGUUAGCAAUGAGCAGAGAGAGGGAAAGGGGACAG